AUUGAACGCUGGCGGCAGGCCUAACACAUGCAAGUCGAGCGGAUGAAGGGAGCUUGCUCCUGGAUUCAGCGGCGGACGGGUGAGUAAUGCCUAGGAAUCUGCCUGGUAGUGGGGGAUAACGUCCGGAAACGGGCGCUAAUACCGCAUACGUCCUGAGGGAGAAAGUGGGGGAUCUUCGGACCUCACGCUAUCAGAUGAGCCUAGGUCGGAUUAGCUAGUUGGUGGGGUAAAGGCCUACCAAGGCGACGAUCCGUAACUGGUCUGAGAGGAUGAUCAGUCACACUGGAACUGAGACACGGUCCAGACUCCUACGGGAGGCAGCAGUGGGGAAUAUUGGACAAUGGCGAAAGCCUGAUCCAGCCAUGCCGCGUGUGUGAAGAAGGUCUUCGGAUUGUAAAGCACUUUAAGUUGGGAGGAAGGGCAGUAAGUUAAUACCUUGCUGUUUUGACGUUACCAACAGAAUAAGAACCGGCUAACUUCGUG
rnacentral:rRNA from 1 species